rnacentral:rRNA from 1 species
UAUGAAUCAAGCGGGAACAUCCGCUAAGACUAAAUACUCCUGAGACAACGAUAGUGAACUAGUACCGUGAGGGAAAGGUGAAAAGAACCUUGAAUAAAGGAGUGAAAUAGAUCCUGAAACCAUACGCUUACAAGCGGUCGGAGCCAUUCGUGGUGACGGCGUGCCUUUUGCAUAAUGAGCCUACGAGUUACCGUUUCUAGCAAGGUUAAGUACUUUAGGUACGGAUCCGUAGCGAAAGCGAGUCUGAAUAGGGCGAAUCAGUUAGUGGCGGUAGACGCGAAACCGUGUGAUCUACCCAUGGGCAGGGUGAAGCUGUAGUAACAUACAGUGGAGGCCCGAACCGAUAUACGUUGAAAAGUGUUCGGAUGACCUGUGGGUAGGGGUGAAAGGCCAAUCAAACUCGGAAAUAGCUCGUACUCCCCGAAAUGCAUUUAGGUGCAGCGUUGAUUUAUAGUUUUAUAGAGGUAGAGCUACUGAUUGGAUGCGGGGGCUUCACCGCCUACCAAUUCCUGACAAACUCCGAAUGCUAUAUAAUGUUAAUCAGCAGUGAGGGCAUGGGUGCUAAGGUCCAUGUCCGAGAGGGAAAGAACCCAGACCAUCAGCUAAGGUCCCAAAAUAUAUGUUAAGUUGAAUAAACGAGGUUGAACUGCACAGACAGCUAGGAUGUUGGCUUGGAAGCAGCCAUUCAUUUAAAGAGUGCGUAACAGCUCACUAGUCGAGCGGUUCGGCAUGGAUAAUAAUCGGGCAUAAACAUAUUACCGAAGCUAUGGACUUGUAAAAGUGGUAGGGGAGCAUUGUAGUGUCGUCGAAGGUGAAGCGUGAGCUUUGCUGGAGAAGCUACAAAAGAAAAUGUAGGCAUAAGUAACGAUAAUGCGGGCGAGAAACCCGCACACCGAAAGACUAAGGUUUCCUCAGCUAUGCUAAUCAGCUGAGGGUUAGUCGGGACCUAACGCGAACCCGAAAGGGGUAGUGGAUGGACAACCAGUUAAUAUUCUGGUACCUGCCGGCGCUAAACGUGACGGAGGGGAGUAGUUAUUGCGUACUGACGGAAUAGUACGUUGAAGCAACUGUUAAGGUUGUGAUAGUACACCAAGGCUUCGGCUGCGGUGAUAAUAUAGCGAAUCCACUUCCAAGAAAAGCAAGCCAGGCAGCCCGUACCGCAAACCGACACAGGUAGUUGGGAUGAGAAUUCUAAGGUGCUCGAGAGAUUCAUGGCUAAGGAACUAGGCAAAAUCGUCUCGUAACUUCGGGAGAAGGGUCGCCCAUCUUCGGAUGGGCCGCAGUGAAAAGGUCCAGGCGACUGUUUAUCAAAAACACAGGGCUUUGCUAAAUUGAAAGAUGAUGUAUAAGGCCUGACACCUGCCCGGUGCUGGAAGGUUAAGUGGAGGGUUUAGCUUCGGCGAAGAUCUGAAAUGAAGCCCCAGUAAACGGCGGCCGUAACUAUAACGGUCCUAAGGUAGCGAAAUUCCUUGUCGGGUAAGUUCCGACCUGCACGAAUGGUGCAACGAUCUGGACACUGUCUCAACCAUGAGCUCGGUGAAAUUGUAGUAUCGGUGAAGAUGCCGAUUACCCGCAACGGGACGAAAAGACCCCGUGAACCUUUACUAUAGCUUCGUAUUGACCUUGGAUAAGUAAUGUGUAGGAU